AAAGCGGCGCACGGGUGAGUAACACGUAGGUAAUCAACCCCCGAGUGGUGGACAACCCUCCGAAAGGAGAGCUAAUACAGCAUGACGGGGCAGCUUUCCGAAGCUGUUUCUAAAGCGGGCCUCUUCACGAAAGCUCGCGCUUGGGGAUGAGCCUGCGGCCCAUCAGCUAGUUGGUUGGGGUAACGGCCCACCAAGGCUAAGACGGGUAGCUGGUCUGAGAGGAUGAACAGCCACACUGGAACUGAGACACGGUCCAGACUCCUACGGGAGGCAGCAGUCGGGAAUCUUCCGCAAUGGGCGCAAGCCUGACGGAGCGACGCCGCGUGAGCGAUGAAGGCCUUCGGGUUGUAAAGCUCUGUGGGGAGGGAAGAAUAAGGGCAAGUUAAUAUCUUGUCUGAUGACGGUACCUCCUUAGCAAGCACCGGCUAACUCUGUGCCAGCAGCCGCGGUAAGACAGAGGGUGCAAACGUUGUUCGGAUUUACUGGGCGUAAAGCGCGUGUAGGCGGCUUUGCAAGUCGGAUGUGAAAGCCCACGGCUCAACCGUGGAAGUGCAUCCGAAACUGCAUGGCUUGAGUCUCGGAGAGGAAGGUGGAAUGCUUGGUGUAGAGGUGAAAUUCGUAGAUAUCAAGCAGAACACCUGCGGCGAAGGCGGCCUUCUGGACGAUGACUGACGCUGAGGCGCGAAAGCGUGGGGAGCAAACAGGAUUAGAUACCCUGGUAGUCCACGCCGUAAACGAUGAGUGCUAGGU
rnacentral:rRNA from 1 species